UCUAAGCCCAGGCCUCAGUGAUCAAUCACAACCCAAGCUCCACUACAUUCUUUGUCCAGCCCUCUGCUGAUCAAUCACACCCCAAGCGAUCCUGUGAUUGGCCAAAUUUAAACUUUACCUUCUUGCUCUGACUAACUCCAUAUUGCCAUUUCACUAUGCACUGCACUGGGAGUAUUCACAGAUCACCACAAAAGGACAUAUCAUGAAUGGUGACAUUUCAAGGGUAUCACGUUUUUCACCCUUGUGCCACACAUGGGGGUGACUAUCGUAUAUAAUAAACGUAAGCCUCACACCCCGUAGCUGUCUUGGUGUCAUCUGUAUAAAAUAAUAGAUAAAGCCAAGAAAACCCGGUUA